rnacentral:rRNA from 1 species
UAGGGAAUCUUCGGCAAUGGACGGAAGUCUGACCGAGCAACGCCGCGUGAGUGAAGAAGGUUUUCGGAUCGUAAAGCUCUGUUGUUAGAGAAGAACGUUGGUAGGAGUGGAAAAUCUACCAAGUGACGUUAACUAACCCGAAAGGGACGGCUAACUACGUGCCAGCAGCCGCGGUAAUACGUAGGUCCCGAGCGUUGUCCGGAGUUAUUGGGCGUAAAGCGAGCGCAGGCGGUUCUUUAAGUCUGAAGUUAAAGGCAGUGGUUUAACCAUUUUACGAUUUGGAAGCUGGCGGACUUGAGUGCAGAAGGGGAGAGUGGAAUUCCAUGUGUAGCUGUGAAAUGCGUAGAUAUAUGGAGGAACACCGGUGGCGAAAGCGGCUCUCUGGUCUGUUACUGACGCUGUGGCUCGAAAGCGUGGGGAGCAAACAGG